ACGCUACAGUUGUUACCCACAUUCCUUGUUGACUUUAAACAAGUACGUAGGAAACAAUUAAAGAAAUUACAGUAAUUUUGAGUUGUUAAUUUUAGAACCAAGAACGGAUUAGAUGGUUAUAUCCGAUAGAGCUGCUGCUGCAUCCUGGUGGAAUUUUAGUUGAUUUUUUAUAAUACUACGAAGCAAAUCGGUAUUGUAAUCCUUAUUGAGGAUUUGUUCGUAAAGUAUUUUAGCAUGUUCAAUGGCACCGUUUAAUUCAUCCUCAGCCGAACGAACGGCUGAUUUACAGUGCUCAAGAUUUUCAGGUUUUGCGGACUCAACAUCCAACUUGGCCAUUUCCAACUGAAGACGCUUGUCUUGUACGUCAGCCUUGACCCUAUGAGCUUCCGCAAAACGAGGAUAAAGGACUGCACGAACUUGUUCACAAAAGUUCUUGCUAAUAGCUGAAUCGCGCUCCCCUUGUAAAUUUCCAACUGCGUACAGGUUAGGAAAAGCAUAAAAAACAGUCUACAUCUUUUUUUGGUAUGCCUGAACAAAUUGCAAACAAAAUUUUUCCUAAUAAAAAUAACAACAAGGCAAUUAAAACCAAAAAAAAUUUUGACUUACCUUUUUCCUCUAAAACGGAGAUUUGACCAAAGGCACUUGAUAGAGGAUUUCCAGCCCCCAUCUUAGUCGUAGCUUCUGAAGCAGCACGGGAAAUAGCAUUGUAAAGAGUUCUUGAGGGCUUCGCGGCUGCCUCUUUUUCUUCUAAAUUUUUUCCCACUGAAGCUAAAGGCGUUUGUUCUAAGGGAGUCAAAUUUCCGAGAUUUCUAACCUGCAUUUAACAAAUAGUUAGCAUCUCAAUAAAACAUUCAACCAUUCGCUUUGUGACCCAGUGCACUUUAUAUGAUAUCUUGACGAUGAUUUGAUAAAGUUUAAGUAUUCUUACCUUUCCCGAAACGGUUUUACCAAAAUCCGUAAUAGAAUCGCGGAAAUUUGUAGGAUAAUCGUAUCCAUCAACUUCUACGGUUUCAACAAUAGGUAAAACAAGAUUGUAUGCUUCUUUCAAGCUAUCAACUUGUUGUUCCAAUUCCACAUAAUCCUCCGGAAGAGAUAACUAUUGAAAAAAUGUUAAUUCGUGUGCAUUUUAUUUUAUCGUACUUCCUCGACUCUUGAUCCAAUUUUUGUACGCAAAUAAUGAGUGGUUUUCUAACAUAAACUGUUAAUAAGAUAUUCUUGUUUAUCGGAAUGAAUAAAUCAACUAAAACGAU